rnacentral:rRNA from 1 species
UACGAAGGGGGCUAGCGUUGCUCGGAAUGACUGGGCGUAAAGGGCGCGUAGGCGGAUUGUACAGUCAGGCGUGAAAUUCCCGGGCUCAACCUGGGGGCUGCGCUUGAGACGUGCGAUCUUGAGUGGGGAAGAGGGUCGUGGAAUUCCCAGUGUAGAGGUGAAAUUCGUAGAUAUUGGGAAGAACACCGGUGGCGAAGGCGGCGACCUGGUCCUUGACUGACGCUGAGACUCGAAAGCGUGGGGAGCAAACAGG